CCUACGGGGUGCAGCAGUGAGGAAUAUUGGUCAAUGGGCAUAAGCCUGAACCAGCCAAGUCGCGUGAGGGAUGAAGGUUCUAUGGAUCGUAAACCUCUUUUAUAAGGGAAUAAAGUGUGGGACGUGUCCUGUUUUGUAUGUACCUUAUGAAUAAGGAUCGGCUAACUCCGUGCCAGCAGCCGCGGUAAUACGGAGGAUCCGAGCGUUAUCCGGAUUUAUUGGGUUUAAGGGGUGCGUAGGCGGCCUUUUAAGUCAGCGGUGAAAGUCUGUGGCUCAACCAUAGAAUUGCCGUUGAAACUGGGAGGCUUGAGUAUGUUUGAGGCAGGCGGAAUGCGUGGUGUAGCGGUGAAAUGCUUAGAUAUCACGCAGAACCCCGAUUGCGAAGGCAGCCUGCCAAGCCAUGACUGACGCUGAUGCACGAAAGCGUGGGGAUCAAACAGGAUUAGAUACCCUAGUAGUC
rnacentral:rRNA from 1 species